UUUCACGAUUAAUCUAGGUCGUUCCCUUUCCCCCAGCAUCCCCUAUUCCUCUCAAGCCCUCCCACGCCGGCCGCCGCCACUCCUUUGCGCGGCUGCGACCUACCUGCAUCCCAGCACGCCACCCCUCACGACUCCCCUGCGACCCUCCGUCCCGGCGCGCCGUCCCUCGUCACCACUCCCGUGGCCCUGCAUCCCAGCGCGCCGCCCCUCGUCACCGCGGCCCUGCAUACCGGCGCGCCGCCCCUCGUCAACGGCGGAUCCAAGGUACGGCCAUGAACAAGCACACACAGCCGCAUCCCUCAUUCCACAUCUGUAAACCCUCGCGGUACCAAUGCAUCAUCCGCAUCUGUAGACUCGUUCGUCCUUCUCGGGCACUCCUCCUCCUAAUCGUUCUCCGCUAUUCACGUGUCAACCAUGUAAAACAAUCCAGGCAGCCUCUUGCUGGUCCCUUCUCUGUAAACUUUUAAUCCCAUUGCUCCAACGACGCCGCAAGCCAUCUUGGCUGAGGAGGACGUCCUUCCAAUCUCACAUUCCAUGCCCGGCCAAACUGCAAUCCAGUGCAGUGGGGAAGGCGUACAUCAAAGGCAGUUUGUAGAUGAAUGGGCAGCCGCUAUUGUUGGUGAAGUUGCCGAGAAUAGGAAUUAUUGGAGACUGCUCGCAGGUAUGCAAGGAGCAAGAAGAGAGUAGCUUUUUUCUUUUGAGGAUUUUUAUGUUGUGUUGUGCUACUGAAAUUUGAGACGUACAUCCUAGAGUUCUGUUUUAGGAGAUACUGAUGAUGUGCUUUCUUUAGUUUCGGACCUCUACUUGGUAUAUAAUGAGAAAGUACAGCCUAGAGUUUGUAAUGUGGGAUGCUGAUGAUGUGCGUUCGUUAGUUUCAAACAUCUGAAGAUACAUAUUACCCAUAGUUUUAAAUAGCGCCCUAAGCCUCUUAGCGGCGGACCUCUUCUAAAUGCUAUAGCGCAGCUAUAGCGAGCUAUUUAAAAUGUUUGUUCAUUUGUUUGGACCAAAGUCUCUUAGCGCAAGACCUUUUGUAAACGCUAUAGCGUGCUAUACAAGCAACUAGGCAAUUCAAUUCACCUAAGGCGUGGACAUAGUUCUGCACAGCGAACUCAAGCACCACUUCUCAUUUUGUUGGAAAGUGGAUAAGUCCUUUUGGAGCAUUACACGAUUUGUUCAGUCCACUUCUCUAUGUUCCUUGCAUGCCAAAGAUGGAAUUUCUGGAUAGUGUUGUUGAAGACCUGGAGGUAUAUGCAUCAGGAGGUUAAAAGGUGGCACCAUGGCAGUAUUUAUUUGAAAAUACACGCGAGAUCAAAAAAUGAUGCUAAGUUCCUCUUUCCUCAUAUUUUUUUCUGCUUGAUUUCUUUUAAUGUCGUUCUUUUGUUAAACAGAUGUACUAAAUAAUUAAGAACAUAUUUGUUGCUUAUUUUUUUGAAGUUCAUGCAUCCGAUGUAUGGAGCUAGAACUUGCUUAGGAAGAGCUGUUAUGUAAUUAAGAUCUGAUUUUUGUAAUUUGUCGACUGAAUCCAUGAUACUAAAUUGUAUGUUGUCAUAUAUAUGUUAUACAUACACAUGUAGUUACUAGGCACGCAUUGUGAGCAGAUAAGUUCAGUCUCUAUUAAUCUUGUUAAGCACAAAAUAUGGCCUUGCAUACAUGUAUUUCCAUUCUCAUAUAAUGGAAUAUAUACUAAAGGAAAGACUCAUGUUGUAUGCUUCUGAUUCUUGUUAAAAGUGUGUAACCUCUUAACCGCUAUGCUUCCAAUUUCACAUAAUAGGAAAAGGUCUGUAGCAAAAAAAAGGAAGCUCACUGAGCACAUCAUUACAAAUUACCUGGCGAAAGGCCAGGCGAUGAAGAGGAUAAUCAAGUUGAGAGCCCCCACCGUAGACGUAUAAUGGCUGAAUGUGCUUCUCAUCAGCGCUUUGGCUGCAUCCCGUGUCUCCAAGUGUGUAGGCAGGAACUAAAGUACUCUUGAAGAGCCUGAAAAUCAAAAUGGAGACAUAGCUCUUCCUACAGUUGUAAGUUGUGAUCCUAAAUUUAAACUUGAUGGUGUUGAACUUUCAAAUGAAUUCUGGGCAGUGCAUGUCGAUAUGGAUCUUACGAAAACCUAAGAUUUGGUACGAAGUUGCGAAAACUGCUACUCUUGGUAAUGCAGAAAAAAACAAAGAUUGCAUGGCCUUCAACCUUUAUUCAAAAGAUAAAUGGAUGAUUAUAUGGGUGUGUGGCAAGUAUGCUGAUGGUGGUGGUGAUGAUGAUGUCCCUGUUCAUGAUGAUGAUGUUCGAUGAUUUCAAUUUUAGUUUAGUUGUAGGGAUGAUGUUCCUCGGUUAAUUUUUAGUUAAGUUGCAGGGAUGUUGAUGGACGCUUUUGGUUCGAGUUUUGUUAUCAAGAAAAUGUUUAGAUUAUGCAUCACAUUUGGAUGAUGUUCCUCAUGUAAUAUCUGUUGUUGUAAUCCAACAAUUUUAUCUAAUAUAUGAUUUCUUCCUUGUGUGAGUA